rnacentral:tRNA from 1 species
GCCAUGGUGGUGCAAUGGUUAAGCACUCGGCUGCUAACCGAAAGGUGGGCAGUUCAAACCCCUCAGUGGCU